CCUACGGGAGGCAGCAGUGGGGAAUAUUGCACAAUGGGGGAAACCCUGAUGCAGCGACGCCGCGUGAAGGAAGAAGUAUUUCGGUAUGUAAACUUCUAUCAGCAGGGAAGAAAAUGACGGUACCUGACUAAGAAGCCCCGGCUAACUACGUGCCAGCAGCCGCGGUAAUACGUAGGGUGCAAGCGUUAUCCGGAUUUACUGGGUGUAAAGGGAGCGUAGGCGGUAAUGCAAGUCAGAAGUGAAAGCCCGGGGCUCAACUCCGGGACUGCUUUUGAAACUGUGUUGCUAGAUUGCAGGAGAGGUAAGUGGAAUGCCUGGUGUAGCGGUGAAAUGCGUAGAUAUUGGGAAGAACACCAGUGGCGAAGGCGGCUUACUGGACUGUAAAUGACGCUGAGGCUCGAAAGCGUGGGGAGCAAACAGGAUUAGAUACCCUAGUAGUC
rnacentral:rRNA from 1 species